rnacentral:rRNA from 1 species
AAACUUUACAAUGCGGGAAACCGCGAUAAGGGGAUACUGAGUGCCAGCAUAUUAUGUUGGCUGUCCACCUGUAUAAACAGCAGGUGUUAGCAAGGGCCGGGCAAGACCGGUGCCAGCCGCCGCGGUAACACCGGCGGCCCGAGUGGUGGCCACUAUUAUUGGGUCUAAAGGGUCCGUAGCCGGUUUGAUCAGUCUUCCGGGAAAUCUGACAGCUCAACUGUUAGGCUUCUGGGGGAUACUGUCAGACUUGGGACCGGGUGAGGUAAGAGGUACUACAGGGGUAGGAGUGAAAUCUUGUAAUCCUUGUGGGACCACCAGUGGCGAAGGCGUCUUACAGAACGGGUCCGACGGUGAGGGACGAAAGCUGGGGGCACGAACCGGAUUAGAUACCCGGGUAGUCCCAGCCGUAAACGAUGCUCGCUAGGUGUCUGGGACGGUGCGACCGUUUCAGGUGCCGCAGGGAAGCCGUGAAGCGAGCCACCUGGGAAGUACGGCCGCAAGGCUGAAACUUAA